CACUGUGUUGAUAUUUCUUCAUCACUUAUGCUCAGAUUUUUUCUUUUCAGCAUCUCAUCAUAUUGCCUGAAUAUGCAUAAAAUAAGUAUACUGAAAUAAGUGAUUAAAGAGUUGUGAUUGUGAUGGAUACUUACAGGAUAUAUGGGUCAACCUUCACAUAGUUUAGCAAAAUAUAUGUCUCUGUCUAUUGAAGUUCAGUAUGGAAGAAAAUUCGAUGAACCUCAUAUCCAAAUUUUCGAGCG
rnacentral:lncRNA from 1 species